GGGUGCCCUGUUCAAUUUGAAUUUCAGAUAAAUGACAAAGAGUGCUUUCGUGUCAGUGGGUCCCGGGCAAUAUUUGGGACAUACUUAGGCUAAACACGUAUUUCAUAUUUGUUGUUUACCAGAAAUCCUGAUUUAGCCA
rnacentral:miRNA from 1 species